UACGUAGGGUGCGAGCGUUGUCCGGAAUUAUUGGGCGUAAAGGGCUCGUAGGCGGUUUGUCGCGUCGGGAGUGAAAACCAGGUGCUUAACACCUGGCUUGCUUUCGAUACGGGCAGACUAGAGGUAUGCAGGGGAGAACGGAAUUCCAGGUGUAGCGGUGAAAUGCGUAGAUAUCUGGAGGAACACCGGUGGCGAAGGCGGCAUCCUGGACCGGUAUUGACGCUGAGGCGCGAAAGCCAGGGGAGCAAACGGG
rnacentral:rRNA from 1 species